rnacentral:lncRNA from 1 species
AUCUGCAGGCUCUGCUCCUACUGUUAUCCCCUUGUAAUAACACUGUUUAGCCAAAAUGGAAAGGCAGGAGUCUGGUGCUACCCUCCACUGCUAGCGGCAAGAUGGGGGCACCACAGGCCUGGGCCUGGCAGAGGCCGCCAUUUUGUGCGCCACAGAGCUGAGCAGUAAACACAGUCCCUGGGGGGGGGAAACUCUCAGCUGGUGCAAAUUAUCACAGCAAUUAAUGUGCUGUUUUGUAAGUAUGACAAUUUACACCAGAUGAUAAUCUUCCCCCUGGCCUGCAAGAAUUACCAGUUUUAGUACAUGAUCCGAUAAAGCCAGCUACAAUCGCAAACUGCUGUGAUUUACAUGCACUGGUAAAAAAAACACUUUUCUUCCAUGUUUGUUUGAAUUGAGAGCAUUAAAUGCAACAUUUACCUUCUUCCCCUUCCCUACGAUGUGCACCUGUUGAGCACCUACCCUGCAGGUGCUGCUGUCAGAUUUUGGGUGUUGCUCCCUUAUCUGAGGGCCCUCUCAGUGUAACUGAGGAUAGUGUGGCUGGGCAAGAGUGGUCUCUGCCCUGGGGUUCUCCUUCUUGUGUUGCUUUGUUACCUGUGCCAUAGGGGUUUGUUGCUCUGAGGAGUGGAUUUUUUUUAAAAAUUUUUGAUCUUGUCCUAAGGAUUUGCCUAAAAGUAGCUGCAGUUGCUGACUUGAAGAGUCUUUGCAGGGAUCUUUGGAAGUGGGACAGCAAUCCAGGUUUGCAGAAUUGUAGUCAAAGGUAUAUUUCCUUGCCUGAAGGAUGAGGCAUAACAAGGUCAGCAGGAAAUCCUCCUUGAACCCCCACCUCCACAUGAGGCCUGAUUCUUCAGGGGUGUCCUCAUCCAGUUCCUUAAGGCAUGGGAGCUACUUUUAACUUAUAUCAGCUGAACGCAGAUCAAAUUUGGGAUGGAUAUGUCAAGCAAUCCACAGACCACUGUCCUGAUGAGGAAUGAGUUGCUCAGACCUGCUUGCGUUCAUUUCAUACACCAAGAUAAUCACCUAGUGUUAGCAUACAGUGCUUUCUCUCAUCGUCACUUCAAAAGCUCUGCGUGUUACCUCCCUCCCUUCGGGACGGCCUCAGCCGCGGCUGUGCUGCCACACUCUGACCUCUCCAGCGAAAUACGUUUGACCCGAAAUAAAAUGGAUGAGAGAGGGGAAGGAGGCGGCUCAGGAGGCAGCGAAACGCAGCAGGUGCCCCCUCGCUUGGUCGUUGCCAGACGGGCAUGUGGCCACCGGUUGGCCAUCGAAGGUGUCCUCAAGGAUGUCACGGAGGCAACCACGCUUCGUGGUCUCGGAGAGGAGCUCACCUGGCUCCUUCCCUGGUGA